CAAUAGCGUAUAUUAAAGUUGUUGCAGUUAAAAAGCUCGUAGCUGAAUCUCGGGUCCGGUUCGGGGCGGCUCGCCCUCUCGCGGCGAGUUCAAACCGUCUCGGGCCUAACAGUCGGUAUUCCCCUGGUUCCCUUAACUGCGGUGUCAGGGGCGACCGGCGCCUUUACUUUGAAAAAAUUAGAGUGUUCAAAGCAGGCUUCCUGAAAAUUGCCUGAAUAAUAUAGCAUGGAAUAAUGGAACAGGACCUCGGUUCUGUUUUCGUUGGUCUCGGAACUAGAGGUAAUGAUUAAGAGGGACGGACGGGGGCAUUCGUAUUGCGGGGCGAGAGGUGAAAUUCUUGGACCCUCGCAAGACGAACAACCGCGAAAGCAUUUGCCAAGAAUGUUUUCCUUAGUCAAGAACGAAAGUCAGAGGUU
rnacentral:rRNA from 1 species